GCCCGAACGUAACACGACACACCACCGUCCGCCAAAUAACUACGAGUACAAACUUAAAAUUUAAAGGACUUGACGGUAUUUCACACUCAACCUAGAGGAGCCUGUCUACUAACCGAUAACCCACGAUUAACCUAACCGCUUCUAGCCCCCAGCCUAUAUACCACCGUCGCCAGCCUACCUUAUAAAAGAAACAAAGUGAGCUAAACAGUAGUACACUAAAACGACAGGUCAAGGUGUAGCUAAUGAAUCGGAUUAAGAUGGGCUACAUUUUCUAACCCAGACUAUACGGACCAGGCCAUGAAACAAGCCUUCGAAGGCGGAUUUAGUAGUAAGCUGAGAACAUAAUACUCAACUGAAAUCAAUGCAAUGAAAUGCGU
rnacentral:rRNA from 1 species